UUAUUUUUUUUAAGUGAAUAUACAAUUUAUUUAACAUUCAAACUUCAUUAAGACAUGUGCAAUAUGGCAAUUUUACUGGGGGUUUAACCCUACCUAGGAUGAUUGCUUGCUGGGGCUUAGCAACAGGGUCCAGUUCACACUUAGCACUAAAUACUUUAUUGAAUAAAUAUAAUACCAAACAAAACGCAUUCAAAUGCUAAAAAAAAAAAAUCAAUUUUAAAGGCCUUUCUAUUCAGGCUAAUGACAAACACAAUAAAGGCAGAUAUGCUAGUUUAACAUAAUUGGCUGAUUUUAUACAGCACUUAUAUCUUUUAGUCCACAAGUAUAUUAUUAAAUGAUAGAGAACAUCUAAUACAACCAUUUCUACAGAACUAGGAAAUAAAUUUCUAAGAAAGAAAGAUUUUACAGACCCCAUCUUUUAUACCCACCACAACAGUCUAACUCUAAAGAGGAUAAAGCCAAUGACUUUCCUCACAAGAGCUCACGACUAAUGUCACUUUGCUAUCAAAAUCUGUAUUUCUGAUCCGUUAUGAGCAUUGAGACAAGAUUCAAAUAUUCCCAACGAAAGAAGCACAAUGCACGUUGUGAUCACCUAUUCAGCAACAGCGAGCACUGCAUUCAAAACUAUCUCAUCCCAGGAUGAGUGUCAUAUGUGUCAUAUGCCUGGAAAUGCAACUAUAUACAUAUUUUACAUGCUUGCUUUUUUAUUUGUUAAGAGAAGAAAGGAAAAGAUACAUACACUUCUACUGUUUUAUGAAUUACUUGUCUUUAUCACUGCUCUUUGGUCUAUCAUGGGGAUUAGAAUUGUAGUCUGGGUUUGCUUUCUUCAGCCAUAGGACUUCUCUCAGUUUUUCCUGUAGAGCACAUUUCCCAGCAAUAAAUUUUCUUUUGGAGUUAGAGCACACAAGAGUAUAUUUUUCACUCAUAUUUCAAAAAUAGUUUUGCUUGAUAAUGAAUUUUAGGCUGAAAGUUUUGACUCUCAGCACUUUAAAAGGUCAUCCCACUGCCAUGGAGCAUUCCUUAUUUCUUAUGAGAAAUAAGCAUUAUCUUCACACUCACUUGUAAAAAGGAAUUAUUUCUCUUUUAGUUCUUCAAGACUUUUUGCUUUAGCUUUCAACAUUUCACUAGUGUCUGUGUAUGGCUCUCCAAUAUUUAUCCUACUUGAAAUUAGUUGGACAAUUGGGAUGUGUAGUUGGGAUUUUGCAUCAUAAUUGGAAUGUUUUCACACAUUUAAAAUAAAAUAUUUUGCUCUGCACCUUUUCUCUUCUAGCUCUCUCCUCCUGAGUAUGUUACUGUGGUUUAUUAUGUAUCACCACUCUCUAAACUUCUGUUCAUUAUUCUUUUUUUUCUGUCUGUUCAUUUGAUUAUGUUAACUUAUUGAUCUAUAAUAUGUUUAAAUUUCCUGGCUUUUUCAUCAGCUUCUUAAAAUCUACUAUUGACUCCCUCUGGUGAAUUUUUCAUUUCAGAUAUAGUAAUUCUCAACUCCAAACUUUCCAUUUGUUACUUUUGUAAAAUAUUAUUUCUAUCUUUUAUUUAUAGGCUCUAUUAAAUUGAAUAUUAUUAUAAUACAUUGUCAUUAUACUUUUCUUCUUUAAGCAUAGUUGCCUGAAGAUAGGUUUCAUGCUUACAAGAAUUUAUCCAUUACUUCUAAGUUCUCCAGUUUGUAGGAAUAUCACAAUAGUAACCUAUGGUCUAUUAUAUUCUUUAUUUUAGUUUCUAAUUUUAUUUAUUUGUAUUCUUUGUCUUUUAGCUAGACCUCAGGAAGGCUCUCCUUAGCUGUUUCUUUGGUUUUCUCUGAUAAACUAGCUUGCCAGUGGUUUAGCUUGUAUCUGUCAUGAAGCAAUCAGCUUCCUCUUAACUGCUUACCAACGUAUCUUUCAUAGUUUGUGAGUAAUUAUAGGCUUGAACUUCCCACAGUUUGAUAAAAAAAUAAAGUGAGUGCUUUGAAAAUGGCUUUUAUGUCCUAGGGCUUACUUAAUACCUCAAUUAGUAAAGAAUCCACCUGCAAUGCUGGAGACUCCAGUUCGAUUCCUGGGUCGGGAAGAUCCCCUGGAGAAGGGAACAGCUACCCAUUCCAGUGUUCUUGUGCUUCCCUUGUGGUUCAGGUGGUAAAGAAUCCGUCUUCAAUGUG
ensembl:lncRNA